CCCUGAUUAUCUCUGUGAUUUAAUGCCCCCGCUUGUUGGUCAAGUAUCUAACUACGAUUUGCGAAACAGUAAUAAUUAUGUAGUACCCGGUUAUAGACUAGACAUAACUAGAAAAUCCUUUUUCCCAUCCACUACUUUUGAAUGGAAUAGCCUUCCCCCCGACAUACGUACGUCCAAAACAUAAAUAUUUUUAAACGAAAGAUGAAGUCCAAAUUGAUACAGCCACCUUCCUAUUUUAGUUGUGGGGAUAGAAAAUUAAUAUCAUUCAUACACGUUUGAGAAAUAUGUGCAGUUCUUUAAAUUCAGAUUUACAUCGUGUUAAUAUUAAACCCAGUCCCGCAUGCAGCUGUGGCCACCCUGUUGAGGAUAGUAUACACUAUUUUUUACAGUGCGCUCUUCACAACGAAGCCAGAGAAAUACUGUUUUCAAAAUUAGAAAGUUAUGCUAUAUCCAUUGAGCUUCUUUUAGCUGGUGACGGUGACCUUUCUUUUCAGCAAAACAAAGACAUUUUGAGUCCGUACAAUCUUAUAUCAGAAUAACACAAAGAUUUAAAGCAGUCAAUUAACAUUCUAAAUUUCUACUUUACAACCUUUCACUUCAGUCUAGUUGUUUCAUUAUUAUUCCUUAUUAUAUUGUAUUUUUUUUUCUUUUUUUCUUUUUAUUUCUAAUUUUUGUUUUGAAGUAUGUAUUACAUGCAUUACUACUAUGUUGUGUUUUUUUUCGCCAUUAUCUAAUGUACUUUGUGUUUAUAUUUAUAUUGGGAGAGGACGUCUCUAAUGUUGUUAUAACUUGUGUCCAAUCCCUUUUGCUACUUUUGCAAGUAAAAUAUGUUUAAACUAAAAGGUUAUGCAUAUUGUUGUCAGUUAUAAAUAGAUAUACAAGUUGAAAUGAUAGGACUUUUUUUUACUGGGAACUCACUUUAGU
rnacentral:lncRNA from 1 species